rnacentral:rRNA from 1 species
UACGGGGGGGGUAAGCGUUGUUCGGAAUUACUGGGCGUAAAGGGCUCGUAGGCGGCCAACUAAGUCAGACGUGAAAUCCCUCGGCUUAACCGGGGAACUGCGUCUGAUACUGGAUGGCUUGAGUUUGGGAGAGGGAUGCGGAAUUCCAGGUGUAGCGGUGAAAUGCGUAGAUAUCUGGAGGAACACCGGUGGCGAAGGCGGCAUCCUGGACCAACACUGACGCUGAGUGAGCGAAAGCCAGGGGAGCAAACGGG